UACAGAGGUGGCAAGCGUUGUUCGGAAUUACUGGGCGUAAAGAGCGUGUAGGCGGUCCGGUAAGUCCGCUGUGAAAGUCGGGGGCUCAACCCUCGAAUGCCGGUGGAUACUGUCGGGCUAGAGUGCGGAAGAGGCGAGUGGAAUUCCUGGUGUAGCGGUGAAAUGCGCAGAUAUCAGGAGGAACACCUAUUGCGAAGGCAGCUCGCUGGGACGUAACUGACGCUGAGACGCGAAAGCGUGGGGAGCAAACAGG
rnacentral:rRNA from 1 species